ACGAUGAUUGUGAAGCAGAAGAAGCCGAAGAUAUCUAAGGUGACUGUGGCGGAAGCUGCUGAGCAGAUUGAUGGGUCUUAUCUGGAGGCUUUUCUCGGUGGUAUAUCGGCUGCCUUUGAGCAGGAAGAGGAUAUUCAGAUGAUGCGGUUUGCGGAUUUUUUUACAUGUGCUUUUUCUGAUUUGGCUGCUUAUCAAUUUCCUUGGGUGAAAUUGUUCAGGAAGAAACCAUUGUCUAAGAAUGUUGAUAGCCAAUUCGUCACAUAUCUGGUGAUGUAUACAAGAUAUCAGUUGAUUGGAUAAAUCUUCGAUCUCCUGAGGCACUCAGCUUCUUUCUGCUUUGGUCUUUGGAUAGUAUUCUUGAUGACUUGAGAAGCAAGUUUACUAUGGCCAAGUGUAAACAUUAUAAUGCGGCCAGGAGUAGCCAGCUUACUCAUGCCAAGUAUAGCCAGCGUACUGUCAAGGAUGCCAUAAUUAAAGGCUGUGCAAUUAACUUCAAAAUUUUCGGUAACCUAUAUCAGUCUUUGUCAUGAAAUUGUGGUGGUGUUCUUUUAUUUUAAAUUCUAUUUCUCCUAAAUAAAAUCUAAUUAUAAUGCAACCCACCAACAGAACAGAUGGUUUUUUCUGUUCACUAUUAAGGGUCAAUGAACUCUCUGGAAGAACCUAUGUCUCGAACAUCAAAGAUAGGGCUAGCAAAUAAUAUUGUCUCAAAGAAUGGUUAACUAAUGUAUGGUUUUGAAACUUCCUGUUAUAAGUUCAAAUAGCCCUUUCUAACCAAUUUAGCAAAUUCAAUAGGGAUAGUGGAUUAGUGAAUGACACUGAUAUUCUCUAACAUGUGCCACAGUGGCUGUGCAUUUUGAUAUUUAAAUAUAUUUGCUUGGGAUAAGCCUUAAGAUUUUAUGAUAAACAUCUCAUUUUAGUGGCUCUGGUUGUUAUAGGAGGCACAAUAUUUAUUAGUUUUAGUUUUUUUCUUAUCUUUCCCUUUUCUAUUGGAUCUUCAUUGACUUGUGCAUUCAAUAUGAAUGAAAGAUAAAGGAACUUCUGCUAUGCUAUUGGAUAGGCAGUCAAUUCAGGAAAAGCUUUUAUGACAGGAAAUAUCAGAAUAUGCAUUUAUAGUUUUUUAAACCUUUUUACCCUU